UACGUAGGGUGCAAGCGUUAAUCGGAAUUACUGGGCGUAAAGCGUGCGCAGGCGGUGAUGUAAGACCGAUGUGAAAUCCCCGGGCUUAACCUGGGAACUGCAUUGGUGACUGCAUUGCUAGAGUAUGGCAGAGGGGGGUGGAAUUCCACGUGUAGCAGUGAAAUGCGUAGAGAUCAGGCAGAACACCUGGGGCGAAGGCGGCCAGCUGGGCCGUCCCUGACGCUGAGGCGCGAAGGCGUGGGGAGCGAACGGGG
rnacentral:rRNA from 1 species